GACAAAACAAAAACUGUCUUUGUUGUAAAAGUGUAAUUUAACUUUUAAGUGAAAAGGCUUAAAUAAUUCAAUGGGACGAUAAGACCCUAUAAGCUUUAUAUUUUCUUUAUAGCUGUUAUAAAAAUUGAAUUAAAUAUUUUGCAUAAAAAAUAUUUGGCUGGGGCGGCAUGUUUAAAAAUUUUGUUAACUAUUCUUAUUUUAACCACGUGUAUGUGAAAAUAGUAGAUCCUUCAUAAUGAUUAAAAGGUAAGUUACUUUAGGGAUAACAGCGUUAUUUUUUUUGAGAGUUCAUAUCGAAAAAAAAGAUUGCGACCUCGAUGUUGAAUUAAAAAUUCUGUAUAGUGCAGUAGCUUUACAAGAAGGUCUGUUCGACC
rnacentral:rRNA from 1 species